GGAGUUGGGCCUUUUUUUUAUGACUGACGGCAGGAUUAACGCCGCCAUAACGGUGAUAACAUCCACUGUUUGUGAUCUUGUGGUAAUGUCGUCUGCAUCGGAGGAGUAUUGGAGUCUUUUCCUGUGAUUGCCGUCGUAACAACAGGAGAUUUCUCCAAGCAAAAACAAGAUCCUGAAUAUGAGGCAGAAUCAUCAUACAGCCAGCUGUCCGUUUUACAUAAAUGCAGAAUUAGGUUCAUUCAGAUCUUUGUGGCACCAAAUGCAUUGAAAGUCACAGGUCAGCUGGCAUUCUGGAAAGAGGGUGCAAAGAAAAAGGAUCUGCCUGAAUCCCAUCCUGCUGUUUCUCAUCGGAGAGCUUGUCAACUUUGACUGUCAAAAUGACUGAAAUUUAACACAACACAAACUCAUUUUUACUGUAUUAUUUGAUUUUAUUAAUACUACCCGUCAAAAGUAUUUGAACAGUACGAUUUUUAAUGUUUUUAAAGAAGCCUCUUCUGCUUACCAA